rnacentral:lncRNA from 10 species
UGUGUCUCAGCUUCCUUUCAUUUCCCAGGAACUUGAGGUCCUGAAGCCACAGUAUUACUCAUUCCUGGCUUGAGUGAGUUAUAAUCAAAAUUAAGAGUGAAAAGUUUUGGGUUAAACAGUUUGUGCUUUCGUAGUAUAAAGGGUCUUUAUGAGAGACACAUAAUCAUAGUUUUGUUUCCUAAAAUGUGUCUGAUAGUACUGUGUAAAAUGAACCAGAAGGGAGACAGUCUUCAGGUAGAGGAAUCAGUUAGGAAGCAAUUACAAUAGUCCAAGUGUGAGGAACUGAAAACCUGCACUGUCGUAGAGAAAAUAAUAUUAGAAAGAGUGGCCAUAUGUCAGAGAUUAUAUUUAUAGAAUUGACAGAACUUAUCUACUUGGAUGUGAGUCACAACUGU